rnacentral:rRNA from 1 species
UACCGAGGUCCCAAGCGUUGUUCGGAUUCACUGGGCGUAAAGGGUGCGUAGGUGGUAGGGUCAGUCGGAUGUGAAAUCUCCGAGCUCAACUCGGAAAUGGCAUUGGAAACUACCCUGCUAGAGGGUCGGAGGGGGGACUGGAAUACUUGGUGUAGCAGUGAAAUGCGUAGAUAUCAAGUGGAACACCAGUGGCGAAGGCGAGUCCCUGGACGACUCCUGACACUGAGGCACGAAAGCUAGGGGAGCAAACAGG